GGGGGCCAGUUUGUGACAAGGAUGAGGUCAUAAAGCUCAUCCUUGCUGCCAGGGAAGCUAUUGUGAGAGGACAGAGUAUUUCCUGCCCAUCUGAAAAGGUGUGGACAGAGCUUAGUCAACAGCUUGGAGGAAAAAUGUCACCAAAAAGUUUGUACACAUUUGUCAAAUUAAAUCGGCACAACAGUUGGCAAAUCCUAGGUAUAGAAGCAGAUGGAGGCAGAGACAGUCCAAAUGAUGAUUCACAUUCCACACAAGAAACAUGUGACAUUAACUUUGAACUCACCAUUCCUUACCAAGAGUGGAGAGAAAUCUGGCAAGAGGAGGCUGUAUAUAAAAACAGAUCUGCACCAUCCAACGAAAGAAUGUAUACCAUCCUGAAGCGUGGCACCUGGUCUAAUGUCCUAAAUGAAAAGAUAUGGAACAUGACUAAAUUACAGUGUACAAUUAGUUUCAAGAGAGCAAAAGUGUACCCACACAGUGCAGCUAAAUGUAUUGACAUCAGUGGCCAUUGUACUGAGUGCAAUGCAAUAGUAUGCAUUUCCAGUGAUACACUGCCAGAAAUAAGCACACCAGCUGUGCUAAAAUGUUCAGUAAACAGCAUUGAUGACAGUCUUCAUACAGGAAAAUCAAAGCGCAUGCUAUCUGGACAGAAAAGAGUGCAAGUCUCUGAAGAACUCUGGGAGGGUAGAAAACUGCCACAUGUCUGGCGAGCUGCAGAGGCGUACAAAAUAAUGGAACUUGGUGACCCAGAGCCCAGCCACCUACCAAGCCUGACCACAUUAAGAAAAGCCAAACAAGAGUGGGGGGAUAAGCAGAUAGGGCACAAAGAUCCAAUCCUUUCACUUCAGUUAAUGAAAUACAGCGUGCCUCACAAUGGCAGCAUUCACGACAUUGGCCUUGACAAGUUUUUUUGUCAUUACUGGACCCCCUCUCAGCUACAGGUGUACAAAACACUAAGGAAGAAUCAGAGAUCAAUUGUGAGUUUUGAUGCUACAGGAACAGUUGUCAGAAGACUCACCAGACCAACAGAAACAUCAGGACAUAUCUUCCUAUACCAAGGAGUUCUGUCCUCACAUGGAGAGGAGUCUGUUCACAUCCCAGUGGUGCAAAUGUUGUCUGAGCGGCAUGACAUCAAUGCCAUAGCAAACUGGCUCUCUGAAUGGCGCAGGGCAGGAGCAGCUGUUCCAAAAGAAGUUGUGUCAGACUUCUCUCUUGCAUUGCUGGGAGG
ensembl:lncRNA